rnacentral:rRNA from 1 species
UACAGAGGGCGCGAGCGUUGUCCGGAAUCACUGGGCGUAAAGGGCGCGUAGGUGGCCACCAUAAGGCCGCGGUGAAAGUUCGGGGCUCAACCCCGAAUCGGCCGCGGCGACUGUGGGGCUCGGGUACUGUAGAGGCAGAUGGAUUCCGGGUGUAGCGGUGGAAUGCGUAGAGAUCCGGAAGAACACCAGUGGCGAAGGCGGUCGUGCUGGGCA